rnacentral:tRNA from 1 species
GGUUGUGGCUCAGUGGUAGAGUGCUCGCCUAGCAUGCAUGAGGCACUGGGUUUGAGUCUCAAAACCA